CGAGGUGAGGCAGAGCGGGUCUUGAAGUGCUUGGAAGUCUCCCGUCGGAGUGAGUCUGGGGGGAGCCUUCCUCCAAGGCUCCUGGGGUGCAAGACUUGGGAAAAGGGUCUUUUCUCCCCCCAAAAAUAACUAUCUGAAAUCACUGCUUCUUCAUUCAGAUGCCAAAGGACACAUUCUUCUGAUGGUAAAAAUAAAAUCCUUCCCCUUUCAAUUAGAUGCAACUGAAAUGGAAGAUUGUUUCUAUUACUGCCCUUACACCUAAAUUCUUUUUUUUUUUUUUUUUUUUUUUUUAUAUGAAAGUGGAGGGAGAGGAAAGAAAAGAUGCAAGGAACAGAUAUUUAACUUGACUCAAUUUCCAUUUGCACAAAUUUAAGCUAGCAAUUCUAAUUUUUGAGUGAUGUUGUUGGCAAAUGAAAGCAAGAGCUACUGAUCAGUACUCAUAAUUUAAAAACUAUUAUUAUAUUAAUAUUUUAAAAGACUUUUUAAAAAAGUUAGUGAUCAUUUAUUUGUCAGCAUGAUGACAUCCAAACAAAGCUUGAUGACAUUUCCUAUAAGGAGAAGGAGGCAGUUAUCAGCAAAGCGAUUUGAGGCUCUGCUUCAACAGCAUUGUUACACUUCGAUAUGUGAAUACAGCUGAGAGGGAACUCAUAUAAGCUGUGACAACUGUUUUUUUCCUGUUUAUUCCCAAAGUGCUGUGCAGCUGCACCUGCCCCAGGGGAGCUCUGAGUGCAGAGGGACCCGAUCCCAGCUGAUGCUCAUGGGGUGUUUCCAAGGCAGGUGGAGCACUUUGUGCCUGGGCUCCUCAUUUCCCUGGCAGCAGCCCGAAAGCUUCCACCUGGCAGCUGGUUGCUGAAGCUACUUUGAGAGGGCUGCAUGUGGACAGCAAACGGCCUUGUUGCUGGUAAAUCACUCGGAAUAAAUGUCUGUGGGUGCUUUGGGAGCCUGUGGGUGCAGGCAGCAGCACUGCCCCGGGGGUGCUGCCAUGCAGAACCAUGGGGCACGAUUGUGCCUGAAGCUUUUACUGGGUUGUGCCCGGUGCAGGACAACGUGCUUCACCCCUUGCCAGCAUCCUGAUUACACCCACAGAGCUUAUCCAAACCAUGGCUCUGCAUACAUGAACCACAGCAGAUCAUCCUACCCGCAUCCCCCCCCAACGCUGGGGGCUGCCCCCAUCUUCCCAGCACCGGCACGGGCUCCGCAGCCACAUAAAUUUCAGCCGGGUGCUUUGAAGUCUCCGGCCGGGCCAGUUGUUUUUGUUUGUGGCGUGGCUUAUCGCCCCGCUGCCUCCUGCCUGUCUCUCGCCGUGCGGCCCCGCUUGCCAGGGCCCGGCGGGCUGCCAGCGGGGCUGAUAAGGAUGAUGGAUGGCGAGGGUGCUGGCUCCACCGCGGCCCGGCCGCUUCCUGGGAGCCCCAACUGGCCCAGCUCUCCCCGGGGAAUGUGGGUCUAAGGGAUGCGGAGCUGCCCGAAGGAUGGUGUGGGUGCGAGUGGUUUCCUUACCCCAAAAGCAGGUUUUGGUGCUGCUCGCAUGCCAGCCCUGGGAGGGGGCAGGAGAUGUCCCCCUGCUCUGCUCCAUCACCUCUAGGGUGAUGCUGGAGCCCUGCCUGGUCCCCUCCAUGGGAUGAGGGCAGGGGGUGGCUUUGGUUGGCUGCAUUUUGGUUUAUGUGGGGUUUUCUGGGGCAGGAGCUUCUCUUAGAGGGCUCUGCAUGCCCUGGUCCGUGUGGUGUGGUGGCUCCAGCACUGAGAGCUCCCUGCUGCGGGGUGUAGGGCAUCCCAGCUGGGACACAUUGCUGCAUCACAUCACUGACCCUUUGGGAAGCUCUCCACAGUGCUUUUCGGAGCUGAGUGGCUGCUACAGUACUCGGAGAACUCCCCCCGGGGUCGGCUCUAGUUCCCAGCUCGAUGUGAGCCAAGGGAAAUAUUUCCAUGCUGCUACCGCAAGGACCACAGAGUCGUUUCCUUGCGGUGCCGUUCUUGCUUCUCUCCCUUGCUAGGAUUUUCCUUUGCCUCCUUUUGACCCAAUCCUUCCUCCCUUUUGUAUUUAUUUCCUAUCCUCUUGUUCCCUAACUGUGCCUUGGAGGACUGAAAGCCUCUGCUCCCAGAUUUGAGCUGCAGAAAGCAGGCAUCCCGACCCUUUUACCUAGUAGGAUUCUGGAUUUGGUCCCAUCUAAGGGGCAGGUUAAAGCACUGCUGUGAGCUCAGGAAGAGCCCGGGGUGUGGAGAUUACCGCUAGCCCAUUUCCCCAAAGCAUCACGAACCGACCCGUGCCAAAUGUGAACACGGGAUAACACGUGCUAAUCGCAGUGCCUCGGUCAGACAAUGGAAAACUUGGGUGCCUUUCCACGCCAGCCUCAUUACAAGGGUUUCUUAAAUAGAGGCUGUGCUUGUAAUUAAAUAGCCAUAGCUUGGCUCCCAAAGACAGGAGGAAAAGGCAAUUUAAAAAUGUAUUAAAACAGGGGUUUUGGCAAUUCUCCUGGAUUUAGAACAAUUCAAGGAUUUAAAUUGUUCCAUUUCAAAUAUGUCAGCUUGCUUUCAAUGGAAUUAAAUAAAGAUGUGCAAGAUGGAGGGAAGGCAGGACGCUUUCCUGGACGCUUUCCCUUCUCUGGCUCCCAAGGGACAGGGUAAAGAGGGGCUCAUAGAGCAGAUUCCAUAGCACUGGGUUUUCUGUGCUGCUCUGCGGCUGACUCUGCUGAUAAGUCCUAUUAAUAUCAAAUUUUCCAACAUUUUUUAGCCCAGCUUCUGGUUUUACCCUUGCCUCCCGCACUCCCUGUUGUGCACACCUUCCCCUGGAGGGACCGGCUCCAAGCAUGAGCUGUGCCUGUUUGGGGACAGACAGAAACCUCUGCAGCUUCCUUUUCUUGCACUGAUACCGUAUUUCAAAGGAUGGUCUAAAGGUGGGUUAAAAAAAAAAAAAAAGGUGGCUCCCUAGAUGUUGUGCCUUCACACACGCCCUUCUGCCUGGCACACAAGGUGGGUAAUAUUGUCAUGACACAACUUUCCACAUCUAUAGGGAGAGAUGCAUCAAAUGUUUGAGAACCACAUGAAAAUCUAACACCACUUUUACUUUGGGAGAAAAAGAUACAGCCCUUAGUUGCUCUUCAGAUAGCAGCUGUUGUACUGGGGAGGCUUAUCUCUGCGAUAGCAGCCAAAGCUCCUUGCUUGAAUAUGGGUAGGUGCUGGGGAGGAAGGGUUGAGCAGCCAGCAGCACCCCAAAAACACCCCUCGUGUCGGUGGGCAGCUGAGAGUGAGCGGGAGGUGUGCUAGGAGAUGGCUUACUCAGAGAACAGGGAAAUAGAGCAGCGGUUUGAAUCCAGCCCAGCUCCUGAUCUGCGAGGGCUUGACAUAAGUAUUUAAGCCUUUGCUUGGGAUCUGGUGAUAGAAGAGGGCUGGAAAGCACAUUUCUUUUAUGGUUAAAGGUCCUUUUGUCGGUCCAUAAAUUCAGACCGAGGUCUGUUUAUUCUGUUUACUGCAGUUACCUAACCUGUGAGCCUCCACAUAAAUCACGGCGAGCAGUGAUUUAGAGGGAAGCUGCUCUCCCCGUGGCGUGUGCACCGCGUCCCUUGCCCAGACCCCCACGCAGCCAUCCCACUCCUCCAGAAGCCGGCAGAUAAGAGCAAUAAAAGCCACAGCUCUCUCCAGCAUCACUCCUGCUUAAUUCUUUUGGCAUGAUCAAGCCACUAAAUGAUGGAAAAAGGAACCUGAGCUGCCUUUUUUUUUUUUCCUUUAUUUUUUAAAGGAAGCAGCAGCUGUAUCCCUGGGCUUCUCAACUGCAAUGUCCCAUUUCCACCCCGUCACCCCUGGGGAUGUCCAGGCACUGCUAUCUGAUGGGGUUUUACUAGAAAAGGGGCUGGCCAGGUGGAUUCCCCUGUGGAGCAGCUCCUGACCAAGCCUCCAUCACCUGAGAGGUGCUGGCUCCCUGCAGCCAAACUGGGAGCCAGAUAAGGGAGUGAUGCCCAGAUAACGGCACCGGCUGCUCCUUGCCAGCCCCUUGGGGAAACCAGCGACAUCAGCUAUCGGCAGAACGUGGCAGUGUUGGGGGGGAGAGCAAGGUUUGGGCAACUGAUGGGGGAAAAAAAUCACUUUUGUUAGCCCAGCCCCCUGGCACUCCAGGCUCAGACCCUUUGGUGAUAGAGGAGGGAUGAGCCAGAGCUGCCAGCACACUUGGGAAGAAGGGGGUGAGCCCCCAGCGUGGGGAGAUCCCCGCUUCCCACCGCCCAGGCUCCAUCCUCCAAGUCCCUUCAGCACUUCCUCCGCCUCCUCCCACCCGCCUCACUCAAGCAGCCUCAGGAUCCCCUUGGCCUUCCCCGUUGCGGCGUUGCUGCCAGGUUUGAUGCUAACCAUUGCGCUCCCCUCCCCGAGCCCCCCCGGUUUUCCUGCCCGAGCGGCGCAGCGCUGCAUCCUCCGAGAGCCCCAGCUGUCUGCCUGCCCGAGACUCGCCUCCCCGGGGAGCGGGACGGGGGGAUCAGCCCGGGUCCUCGCUGUUUAGUCUACCCAUCAGCUUGGUGACAAGGAGUCUAGCAGCUGGCAGAAAGUGCUUUUAUAAUUGCCGGGAUGCCGGCUUCGAGCUGUUUGCCCGGUGGCUCUUUCUUGCUUUAAAUCAUAGAGAAGGGGGGAAGGGGAGGCUGAUUGGCAGGGGGUUGGAUGAGAAAUGCUACACCCCCGGUGUGGAAGUUUUGGCAGCUGGAGACAGCUCUCGGCUGACCCCAGAGGGAUGCCGGGUGUUGGUGUUGGGGAAAAUAAAGUCAAGAGGCAGCUGGGCAAGGCACAGCAUCCUCCGAUCAGGGCAUGUUGGCUCUGCCAUGGCUGAGGCAAAGCCAACAGGAGAAGCAUAUCUGCCGUGAGGGCUGAUCUUGUCUUAUCCUAAAACCCCAUUAAAUCCCACUGGGGUGCCAAUUUAGAAAAAUCCUAUCGGCUUUGCUGCAUGCAGUCUCAGAGAGAGAUGCUCAGAGGCCAAAGGGUGAAGCUCUGAUGACCAAAAAUCACUCAAAAUGUAAAGAGGACCAAGUGACCUAUGUUGGUCUUUGGGAUGUGAGGUUUCCUGCCUUUAAGGGUGCCAUCAAUCCCGCUGCAGGGCCCUGCAGUGCUCUGGCGGAUGCAGACGACUCAGAGGAGCCUGCAGAGCAGCAGGGAUGACAAAGUGGACGGCACGACCUGGCCAAAGAGACGGGGUUUUGUUUUUCUUUGGCACAGCGAAGGAGGAGGACAUGAUAAGAGCCUCCCAAGACCUCUGAGAUGACAGUGAUCAAUCGCUCUCCGGAGCUGGAGCUGGGCCAAGAUGUAAUCAACUUAAUUUGCAAAGAGAAAGCUCAAAGGUUAGAUAUUAAGACAGAUGUUUCAUGCUCUGCAGGAGGACAGGGAAGCCCGGCCCGGGUUACAUGAAGGUUAUUCAAAACAAGACGGGCCGGGCAGCGUGGGAGCAGUCAGGUGCAGACGUGGGGCUUGGGAGGACGUUAAUUCCCUCAGCUCCAGGCAGGGGACAUCCCUGUCCCACAUCCCUGUUCCUGCAGCUCGCUCUGUCUCCACACUGGCCAGCCAAUCUUGACCCCAGCCAUCUGUCCCCUUGGCCAGGAUCCCACAUCGCAGCACGGCCUGGAUCCUACAACGUCCCCACAGCAGCUCCUGCCCUGUGGUGGGACAGGGACCUGGGAGACCUUCCCCAGCCCUCCCUCACCCCACUGCACCGCCCUGGAGGUGGCAUUUCUGAGCCCAAGAGAGGGAAGCCCGGAGGCUUUUAGACACUUACAAGCUAUUUUACAGGAUUUUUCUAAGCCUUGCUUUGGGCUGGUGCCUCUUGGCAUUUUAAGGAGGAAAAUUAUGAGGGGGCUGAGGCCUAUUAAAAUCCAAAACUCGACCACUCCUGCAGAAACAACCCUGCUUGUUCCAGGCUGGGUUUUAUGGCUGUUAUGUGUAUGUGAUAAAAACUUGCUUGGGCUAGCAUUAGAGCGGUGUGGCUAUCGCCCUGUUCCAAACCGCAUGUUCACGGGCGUGUUCCCGAUUUGCUGAGGCGCUCUGAGUUUGGAAACUUUUCACUCCAACAAAGCGGGUGGGGAGCGGCGCCCAUUUGGUGUUUUGGUGGUUCUUUCCAAGUGAAGUUAGAUCUGGUUAAGAAGCAGUAUGAAUCGAGAUGAUGUGUGGUUAAAAAGAAAAGCACUUUGCCUCCUUUUUUUGGAGCUUCCACAAACAAACUGGUGGCUCCGAGGUGCCGGGGCAGCGCAGGCCUUGUGGGGUUUGCCUCUUUGGGCUUCAGGGGGCUGCCAGAAUUGGUGCUGGUCCUGCUCUGCCCUCCCAGAGCUCCCAUCCCUCCUGCCCAAGGUGCUUCAAACAGCUUCCGAACACCAUGUUCCCCCAGGGACCCCAAAUCCUCCAUCUCCCUGUCCUACGCCCCCUCCUGCAUCCUUUUGGCUGGUGCCCGCCGCCUCCUACUGAACACGGAGGGCAACCAGCCGGAGUGGCAGGGCUCACAGCCAAGGUGCUGUACUAGCCACGGCAGGAUGAGGCCCAGAAGGGAAGGAAAAUCAAUCCCUUGCUAUCCUCCUGCCCGCCCCACCAAACGCCGCCACCCGCAGGCCUGCGGGUAAUGGCGGAGGAGCCCCGGCCUUGCGGCGCCCAUCGCCCGCCUCGGGUCUGCUCUCACACCAGCCCCUUUGGGAGCCUGAGGGGACGGCCCCGGCCCCGCAGCCGUCCCCAAAACUUCGGGGCUCAGGUGCAGGGAGCGAGGGGAUCUGGCGGGCCGCUGGCACCAUCUGUCGGCAGGCGGCUAGAGCAGGCAGCUCCCCUUCCAAGCGGCUGAGGGGGCUCGUGAGGCCACCCUGGGGCCAGCCCUUCAGCCUCCCCUGCCUCAUUUUUGUGGCACCAUACACGGCUCUGCCCCCCAUAUGGCUUUCAUCCCACGGCGAUCUGUUUGAAGCUCUUCCCAGUCGCCAGAUUUUCUGAAAGGCUGGCUCUGCUUUCUCUCCAGCUGCCAUUUACACCCUGUGUAACCCCCCUGAUCCCCAUCCCAGGGCAGGGGUCUGUGGCUGGCUGUAGGGUGGGCACUGCUGUUUCUGCAGAUCCCCCAUUGCUCGUGGCACCGUGCUGGGGUGGACAGGUCCCUGUUGGGCACAGCCUGGCCGUGUCCAGCUCAGACACAGAAAGGACGAGCUGCAGGCUGGUGGCACAGCACUAGAGACACCCCUUCCCUGGCUAAGGGAGCUUUGAUGGGAAAGGUCCUCUUUUCGCAGCCCUACAUUUCCUUACAGGAGGAGCUGCCCGUCCCUGCCCUGUCUGUGAGCCAUCCCACAGGGCACGGGUGCUGCAGGCUGAGCUCUCGUGAUCCAGGGCCACCCCCUUGGGCUCAGAGGACUGGGAGCCAGAACAUCUCGCACCGAUGGCCCUGCCCCGCUGGUGGCGGGGAGCCGCUGGCCUCCAGCACACAUCCAGAGCAUCAGCGACUGGGGAGCUCGAGGCUGAGUGCUCAAGGCCAGUGCUUCUGCAGCUUUGUCUUCUCACACAUCCCUCAGUGCUGUCCAGUCACGCUGGGGAUGCUGCAGAAAUGUGACAUUUCUCUAGCCUAGGCUGUUUCCAUGCCCGCUCAAGCAAGUCAUUGCCCCCCUGCUGCAAACUGCUGCUGGUCAGAGCCCCCAGACCCUGGACAUGUAACACCACCGGCUCUCACCUCCUGGGACACCUGUCUUGGCUCCAUAGCCAGCCAGAGGUGGGGUGAGGGCGGAGAUGAAGGCUGCGAGGGGCUGGCUGCAGGGAGUGAAAAGCAUUUUGCACCCCUGGGACUCAGCGCCCUGCACCGCUUGGGUUACUGCCAGUGGGGGGAGUUGAACUGAGACUGGGGGAAAGGAAUCAGCUCACAACUGCCCUGAAGGCAGAGGACAUGGAAACAGCAAAAAUGCCUUUCUUGGGAACCCAUUGCAAAUGGGAUUUUAUACAAAUUUAUUGCACGUAUAGAUGUAUUUGCAGCCGUGUUUAUAUAAAGGCUGCAUCUCUUGAUGAAAUGGUGCUGUUGUGCUCGGCACCUGCGCUGUGUGAUGCCUGCUCUGGUCACUGAGAUGCUAUCUUGGGGACUUGCUGCCAGUCCCGGGCAGAGCCAGGGCGGCUCAACCUGUACCGUGCUGGGGACACCUUGCAGACGUCCGAUGUGUUCCCGAGGUGGAUUUCUGGGCUGGCGCCAGGCUGGAGGCUUUCUGCAGGUGCCUGCCAGUAAACCGGGAGCUCUCCCUGCCCGGGGCUUGCUGCAUUUCAAGUAAACCCUUAGUCCCUGCAGGUAAAAUGUGUCUCUCCUGAAAGAGGGAAAGGGCUUGCGUUCAACAUUUUAGAUCAGAGGGGAUCCCCCGGCUGAGAAAAGCUCUUGGCUGGGUGUCUGGCUGAGAUGGGCGUCCCAGCUCAGCAGGCGGCAGAUGGCAGCAAAGCCGGGCUCAGGCUGUGCCUCCCCUGCCUGAGGCUCCCAAAUCCCCUCCUCGCUGUGUCCCGGGUCAGCAGCAGUAUUUCUUUCCUAGCAGAGUGUCCUUGCAGGGAGAGGGGCCUUCAGCCAGCCUCUGCACACCCCCAGUGCUUUAUCUGCAGGGACCCACGGCUGGGGCAGUGCUGGUGAAUUCAGGCCCGAGCCGUAUCCCAAAGCAGCCACCUCUGCUUUGCUGCGUCUCUGUGGGAUGUGGGGAGGCACAGUCCCCAAACCUCCCUCCUUUACCUGUCCUGGGGUCUUUCCCCUCGGGGAAAGGAUUAAAGAAUUUGCACUGUGCUCCCUGCUGUUUUGCUGGGGGUUGCUGAUCCCUCUCAAGGGAGAUCCUGAGACCUUGAAGAGGGAGGAGCCCCCCAGAAAUAAAAUAAAAAAUAAAAAUAAAAUAAAAUAAAAUAAAAUAAAAUAAAAUAAAAUAAAAUAAAAUAAAAUAAAAUAAAAUAAAAUAAAAUAAAAUAAAAUAAAAUAAAAUAAAAUAACAACAAAACCAGCAAAGCACCAGGUGGGGCAGCUGUAUCAGGUUUGCAGUGUUUGUUCCUGCCCCCAGCCAGCACAGCCGGAGCCACGAGCCCCUCACAGGGUGACCAAGGCACCCAGAGACGGGGUGAAGGCAGAGGGACAGCUGGGGGGGCGAGGAGACGCCUGUUUGGGGGAUUUUGUUGAGUCACGGUUUGGGACUGGCAACCCUCCAGCACUUCACAACCAGCUGGAAGGAGUUUGGGGCCGUGCCACCCUGAAAGAAACAGGAGGGGAAACGAGCUACAGCCCUGACAGGGAGCUGGGAGCAUCUUUUCCAGCCCGCCCAGCUCCCACAGCCCCCUGCUCGGUUAAAAGUAAAUGGGGAGGGAGCAAAAUCUGCUCUGCGGGCGUGCAGCCCUGCUUGUGGGGCAGCUGCCACCAGGAGGGUGGGCACAGGACAGGAUCAGGCUGUGCCUGGAGGCAUGGGGGGCUGCAAAGAGGGGACAGGCCCUGGCCACAUGAUUUUAGGGAACUCAGCCUGUCCAUAGGAGCGUAGAAAGGCUGCAGCAGACCUUGUUUGGCUCACUGCAAGCCCAUUCUUUGCUAGCACCUGCCCUGGUGGGAAAUUCUCCCUGCUCAGACGCAGCCCCUCUCUCCUGCCUCCUGGGGCACGAGUUAUCUCCGGCGCUUGGGUCCUGGGUGCUGGCAUCACCCCACCCAGCCUGGCUUGCCUGAGAUGCUGUUAAGAGCCAGGGCUGCCCUCUCCUGAUUACACACGUGUGUGAAGCUGCGUUUAUCGUGGGCAAAGCACUGCUGGCUCAUUCAUCCUCUCUGGCCGCCGCCUCCGCUGCCAAGAGCCCUGUGCUCGGACCCCGGCUGCGCUAUCUCCCCUCUUCACGUGAACUGCACUAUUUGCAGCCUGCCUAUCUGAAAAGCAGCACCAAGCAGGACGGGGGCCCUGGCCUCUGCCCAAGGCAAGGUGCCAUUUCCCAAAGCCUGGGGACCUGGCUCCUGCAGGCAAGGAUGGAUCCUGAUUGCUCCCUGCUGGUGCUGUGACCCCCUGGGGGCCAGCAGCUGCUCCUGGGGCAGAAAGACCUCCCAAGUGAGACAAAAAGGGUUAAAAAAAAAAUAAAGAUGUGAGCACUCGACCUCACUGCAGUUUCUUUGGGAGUUUUUCUGGUGUUUGGGAACACCUUGCACUGCGUUGGGCAAGGUUGGUGGCAUCCCAAGUGGUCCCCAAAGAGCAGCUGGGGUGCCUCCAUCAGUCAGCAGAUCCCCUGCUUGGAAAAGGGACAAUGUGGAAGUGUUUGGUCUCCAUCCAGAGAUCAUGGGGAGGGGGAUGCAGGGACAGCUGCUGGAAGCUGUGGGGAGUUUUUCUCUGUGUUUGUCUGAAGGUCGAUCAGGUGUGCCUGGGUGCCCCGUGGUCAGCAGGAGCACCAGCAGCUCGAUGCCCCAGCCUCCACCAACAUCGUCAGCAAUCUUAGAGUGUUGUCACCACACACAGAAAGGCAGGAGGCACCUUAACGAGGCUCACUAACGUACAUUAAUUAAUUAAGAGGUAAGGCAGUACCCAGAGAAAUGGCCAGCACAGGAACCACAGUGCCACACAGCGCGGGAUGGCUCGUGCCUCCCCGAGGGAGCACAGCGGACAAAGCAGCCUCAGCACCACCGGGGUGAGAAAACGGAGAUUUGGGGCUCUGCUGCUGCCGUGGUGUGGUCCCAGCGUGGCUUUUGGCUUUCCCUCACGUCGCACCAGCUGCAAGCAGCCCCUGCUGCUCCGCAGGCCCUGGCUGCUGUCCUGCUCCGUGCCCCAGCUGCCUUCACGUGUGCCUCCACGCUCAGAUAAACUGCGGGGAUGUUUUGGUUUGGCACAAGCUUCAGUUUUGCAUCUUUAGGAGAGGAAUUACAAAAUAAUAAGAUAAGCCUGCAGACUGGAAACAAGCUCAAGAAAAGCCUUCUUGAGUGUAAAGAAGUCUCUGCUGCCCUGCGGACCUCUGGGAGGUAGGAGAGGAGAGAAAAGGUGAGGAGGGUGAGUGUGGCAGUGUCUGGCUCCUGGUGUCUCCACUCUGAAGCUCCGGCGCUGCUUGUCGUCAGAUGAAAAAGGGUUUAGGAACAAAGGGUGUUAGCUAAGAAGCAUGAAAAUCUAACAGACUUAAACACCGGCAAGAAAUCUUGGCUCGGACUGCAUGCAGCCUCACGUUGCAUUCAUUUUGCUCAUGAUUUAACUUCAAAGUCUAACAAACACCCUGGCAGGAGGUUGGACUCUUACAAGCCAGCGCCGUCACUCACGCCGGAUGAUGAAAAGCCCUCAGAUCACCACAAAAGCUGGCAAGCAACAUAACAAAAUCCACCUGCGAAUUCUGCUCUUCUGAAUGCAAACAGCAGGAAAAAUCUUUGGCUGGUGCUGCCGUGUGAGCAGCACUGAUCCACAAAGUGCCAUGCGGCGAGGUGGCAUCCAGAAGUGGCUCGCAGCCCUGUAGCCCCCACCACCUGGAAGAGGAGAGGUGCCACCACCUGGAAGAGGAGAGAUGCCAUCACUGGAAGAGGAGAAAUGCUUCUCCGACGGCGCUGCUGGAGAUUGUGAGCAGGGAGAGCCAAGGAGCUGCUUUAGUUGCAUUUCUUCCUCUCUGGCAGGGAGAAGAGGCUGAAGCAGACUCCAGUGGGAAGUGUCACUGUCUACCUGUGCUGUGUCCUCAUUUGUCACCGUGAUGUGCUCAGGAAAUCUUUCCCUCCUCUAAAGCAGAACUAUUUUACCCAGCCCCUUCAGCAUUCCCAGUGCUUACACAGAGGUCAGUGGGAUGAAACCAUUUUGCAGAGCAGGUAACAGAGGACAGCACCAGUCCUGUGCCUAGGUUCAGCUCCCUGGUGCUGGGAACAUCUCCAGUCCCUGGGCUGGGUCCCUUCUUCCCUUGUAGCUGGCUUGGCUGCCAAGAACCAGAGCUCGUUUGGAGGUGCAGGGGUAGAAGAGGCAAGGGCCAGAAUCAAGGCAUAAAACAGAACCUCUCGGCCUGGAUUUGUGGUCCCUUCCCCAUGCCUGUGCCAGCUCUCCAUGGGCAGUGGAUGAAGGAGCCUCCUGGAUGCUUUGCAGGAGGGUGUCCAUGAGCAUCCCGUGGUCUUGCUUGUCCCCUGGAGCCAUGUCAUAUUCAGAGGCUAAGUAGAAGUGCUGCAGUUCGUACCUUUGCAGCUCUUGAGGAGCCACCACUUAGGGCUGGCAGCAGUGACAUCCGUAAGCCACUGACCAAGCAAUCCCUUUCUCCCAUCUUCAAGACCAAGUUGAAUUCUCCAGCCCUCCUGAGUUCCCCUGCACAGCCAGGGCAUCCUCUACAGCCCCCUGGGCCCUGCAGCACCAUUUUACACCCCCAACCCACAUCCCUGCAGGCUGGGGAGCAGAGGGACAGCGGGUUUCCCAUAACCCAGCCCCGUCCCACUUCGCAGUCGCCCAGCCACAGCUCGUUCCCAUCCCCAGUGACCUCCCCGGGGACAGAACAUGAGCUUGCGCCCUCGUAGCUGUCCUGUUUGUAUACACAGGCCCGCUGUUGACACAGAUCUCUUAAUCCCCCUCUCUGUCCCAGGGACUGUGCUGGUACAAUGGGAACUGAGGCUGGGUGCUGGCACUGCACUUUGCUGAAACCCUUUUACCUCUGACUCGCUGAUCAGCUGCUGACGGGGUGUUAUCGGUGGCCGUGCCCACGUGCUGGCAAAGGGGCCUGUCCCCAGCUCAACUUGGUGGCACCGGGAAGAGGCUCAGUGCAGAAACCUCAGCUGUGGGCCGUGAGAGGAGAUCCAAGCACCAUGCAGGAGCGCUGGACUUCUGCACUGCUUUGUGAGAGCAGGUGGCUCAGCCCCACGUUCAGGAUGGAUUUUCAGUCGGAAUUCCUGUCCUGUUCUUGCAAUGCCCAUCAGAGCCCAAGUCAUAUGAACCUGAGGUGUUUGUGCCUGCUGCUAGAGUCAACACGGCUGCAAAAGUGGAAACAAAAGCGCAGUGGAAGGCUGCCUGGUGUCCUUGAAAUCCUGGGCCCAGAAGUCUGAACUCACACACAAAAUAAUGGGAGAAUUUUAACUUUCCAUCUCCCUGUUUCCCAGUUCCCUAGCUGUCAAAGAGGGAGAACGGCACCGGCCGGGUCCGUACGCACUGGAGCAGCGCACAGCUCCCAGCACGCUGCCUGCCAGAGAAACACCCGGCAGCAAUGUAAUUAUGUUGUGGUUCAGGGUAAGAUUUGAAAGGCAAGGCCCAGGGCUUUGCUUUGACUGCAGAGGGGUAAAACAAUAUUUAAAUAGCUACCAGCCUCUGAAAGCAGCAGGACUCCCAUGGGAAAAGAGAGAAUCUGCGGCCAUGCGCUGCUGAUGGGUUUGUCACAAACACGCAACCUGCAAGGGGGGAGAAUGGAGCUGCUGGGAGCUGCCCCUGAUUUAGUAUUUCAUAAGGCUGGUGGAUGACUCUGAGCCUUUUGGUUGUUAAUUAUCCCUAGGUGCUUAGAGAAAAAUAUCCCAGGAAUCCCACUCGUAAAUCUUAUCGAUUCUCACCUUGAGUCUUUGGGAGCUUUUCGGGCACCUGCGCAAGCUGCCGCCACGUGAAUUAAUUGAGCUCCGUGGACCAGCUGCUGGCUGGUGUCUCCCUGCACAUUGGGCACCAGGCAGCAAGAUGCACGUCCCCAGCCAGCUCUAGCACGAGGUGCUCCUGCCAGGAGAAGCGCGGGCUCUAGGGACUCGCAGCCCAUUUCCAGCCUGCUUUGUUUCUCGGUGGGAUUGGCACGUCCUGAGAGGGGGAUGCAGGAUGUCUCAUCUGAAGCACAGAGACCUUGAGGCAUUCUGAGAAAUGAUGGCAAAGCUUUUAUAGCUCAUCUCUGUUUGUGAAAACGUCUGAAAGAUUUUUGCUGAAAUUUCUGAAUGUGGAAGAAGUGCAGGGGGAAGAGGAGGCAGUGUCCUUGGCAGGUAAAUAUCCAUUUCAGAAAAUAUCAGCCUCAGUGGUCAACUUCGGCUGUGUUUGCCAAAGCACCUGGAAAGAGAAAUCGCUUAGGGGAUAAGUUAAGGCAGCCUCAGGUUAAUAUAUCCACAGCAAAGUAUACAAGGCGGGAAAUUCUCAUCUAGAGGAGGUAUGGCUUUCUGCAGCCCAUAUCAUCAAUAACAAGGCAGUGGGGGUGUUUUCACAAUUCUUUUCGAGCAGACAAAGUUAUUUAUUGGCUUUAGGAAAGUCCCACAAGAACGCUGACUUUUGGAGCAAAAAGUUGUGAUGAUAAAAGCAGUCACCUACCAAUAGAUACAUUUUCCCACUCGAUCUAUUUAUUAAAAACAUGCAAAAACUGCCGAGCAGCCUUAAGAUGAUUAAUUCUGGGAUUUUUACACCCAUUUAAAUCUCACUUUUUAACACCAGGAAUAGACACACGGAGCAUUGCUGACACAAACCUGUUUGCCAGGGCAUUUUCCAGAGGACUGAAGAUGUGCAUGAGCUGAAGAGGAGUUCAGCAGAGCAGAUGUGAGCCGGUCUCUGUCCCACUGGUGGGGCACGGGGCCUGAGGAGCACGGUGCUGCCAGGCUGGUCUGCAAGACUGAGCUGCUGAGCCAAGCCUGUGGGCUGCGGAGUCCUGCUAAGCAAAAGCACUUGGUAAUGGGAAUGUAAUGGAACUCGUUAGUGUCUGCCAUUUUAUUAGGCGGGUUGAAAAUUAUUUAUCGGUGCGGAUGCGCUCAGUCUUCCUGCUGAUUGCUCGUAUGUUUUGCUAGAAGGGUACAAGCACAUUUAUCUCAGAGCCAGGGAGUCUCUCCUACCUCUCGGAAUCACUUGGCCGCAGAUAUAAAGGGACCAUGGGACUGUCUGGGAGCACUCAGCGUAUUCUGAUUAAAUAGCAGAAUAAAA